rnacentral:rRNA from 1 species
GGGGAGUACGGCCGCAAGGCUGAAACUUAAAGGAAUUGGCGGGGGAGCACUGCAACGGGAGGAGCGUGCGGUUUAAUUGGAUUCAACGCCGGACAACUCACCAGGGGCGACCACCGUAUGAGGCUCAGCCUGACGAGCUUAGCCGAUAGGUGGAGAGGUGGUGCAUGGCCGUCGUCAGUUCGUACCGUAGGGCGUUCUCUUAAGUGAGAUAACGAACGAGACCCCCGCCCCUAUUUGCUACCUUUCCCUCCGGGGAAAGGGCACAAUAGGGGGACCGCCGCUGCUAAAGCGGAGGAAGGUGGGGUCAACGGUAGGUCAGUAUGCCCCGAAUCCCCUGGGCUACACGCGCGCUACAAAGGGCAGGACAGAGGGUUCCGACACCGAAAGGUGAAGGUAAUCCCGAAACCUGUCCGUAGUUCGGAUUGAGGGCUGUAACCCGCCCUCAUGAAGGUGGAUUCCGUAGUAAUCGCGGGUCAACAUCCCGCGGUGAAUAUGCCCCUGCUCCUUGCACACACCGCCCGUCAAACCAUCCGAGUUGGGCUGAGGCGA